AUCCAGUCUGGUCGGUGAUUUCGGCAGUUUGCAGCCGGUGGCGCUUGCUGGCUUGCUCGGAAGUAAGCGCAGUCGGGUUUUGUAGGACUUGCUUCCGAGAAAGCUCCCUUCGGACUGCAGCAGCCUUAAGCCCCGCUUUUGUGUUUACUUUUAAAAGUAUUACCGGUGGAUUCACAGGGACUUUUUAACUGCUAAAAGAAAUGGGCGUUGAAAGGGAUGAUGUGAUCACCAAUCCGAUAUGGAACUAAGAAGUAAUGCAAAUCAAGUCACAGAGAGUGCCAGUGAAACAGAGAUGCCUCAGUGACCUCCAUGGAAGAGAGUUAAAUUAUGUUGAAAUAGUAGGUAGAGUCGUGGACCAGAGCCCUGCAUGCCUCCGAAGAACUACUGCUGAUGCUAGAGCCCUUGUGGAAGAAUUGGCCAUGUACCUUCCAGCAUUUAUCUACUGCUUUGAAAACCUGAUUGCCUCCUCUUGGAUCACUUGGACUAGGAACGUAUAGUCCUCCAGCAGAUGCUUGUUAUAUGCUGCCAUCUUAUUCCAAAGGAAUAUCUGAAUCUGACAGAAGACACUAAGAACCUAUCCAACCGGCAGCAAAAGAGGAACUGAGGGUCAGGGGUGUUGCUCCUUCCAGACAGCAGGCUGUUUCAGUGCAAAUCAAGCUGCGCAUGCACUCUGAGAGGGAGCAGAUUCCCCCUAGAGGAAUUUUAGCUACAGAAUCUAAAGAUCGGCAGGCUUGCACAUGGAUGAACUACCACCAGUAGUUGGAUGACUGAGAAAUGACAAAUAGGAAUCACCAAGAUUUCCCCUGUUGAGUUUGCAUUCUUUUUGGA